CACGUAGGCGGCUAGGUAAGUCUGAUGUGAAAGCCCUGGACUCAAUCCAGGAAGUGCAUUGGAUACUGCUUAGCUAGAAUGCAGGAGGGGUAAGCGGAAUUCCAGGUGUAGAGGUGAAAUUCGUAGAUAUCUGGAGGGACAACGGUGGCGAAGGCGGCUUACUGGACUGAUAUUGACGCUGAGGUGCGAAAGUGUGGGGAGCAAACG
rnacentral:rRNA from 1 species